UACGUAGGGUGCGAGCGUUGUCCGGAAUUAUUGGGCGUAAAGAGCUUGUAGGCGGUUUGUCGCGUCUGCUGUGAAAAUCCGGGGCUCAACCCCGGACUUGCAGUGGGUACGGGCAGACUGGAGUGUGGUAGGGGAGACGUGGAAUUCCUGGUGUAGCGGUGGAAUGCGCAGAUAUCAGGAAGAACACCCGUGGCGAAGGCGGUUCUCUGGGACGGUACUGACGCUGAGACGCGAAAGCGUGGGGAGCGAACAGG
rnacentral:rRNA from 1 species